rnacentral:rRNA from 1 species
AGUAGCAAUACUUCUGAUGGCGACCGGCGCACGGGUGCGUAACGCGUAUGCAACCUACCCGUAACAGGGGGAUAACACUGAGAAAUCGGUACUAAUACCGCAUAACACUGUGAGAGGCAUCUCUUGUGGUUGAAAGUUUCGGCGGUUACAGAUGGGCAUGCGUUGUAUUAGCUGGUUGGUAAGGUAACGGCUUACCAAGGCGACGAUACAUAGGGGGACUGAGAGGUUAACCCCCCACAUUGGUACUGAGACACGGACCAAACUCCUACGGGAGGCAGCAGUGAGGAAUAUUGGUCAAUGGACGGAAGUCUGAACCAGCCAUGCCGCGUGAAGGUCAGUGCCCUAUGGGCGUUAAACUUCUUUUGUGCGGGAGCAAUAAGGGCCACGCGUGGCCUGACGAGAGUACCGUACGAAUAAGCAUCGGCUAACUCCGUGCCAGCAGCCGCGGUAAUACGGGGGAUGCAAGCGUUAUCCGGAUUUAUUGGGUUUAAAGGGUGCGUAGGCUGUGAGGUAAGUCAGCGGUGAAAUGCCCCCGCUCAACGGGGUGAAGUGCCAUUGAUACUGCCUUGCUGGAAUGCGGAU